GUGUGAAACUUCCCUGCUAUUUUCAGUGCAACUGGGAUAUACUGCAUUUUAAAUGGUGACAAUGCAUUUACAAGUGUUUCUUCAUAAAGACACAGGUUGCAGCCAGUCAGGAUCUGUAUGAUGAUCCGGAGAUAAAUAGUCCACACAGCAGGAAUGUGAAGAAAACCCAUAUGUAGGAAGUCUCCUGCAAAUAAGAGAAAGCAUCAAGCCUGCCUUUAACCAGUUGGAAAGGCAUGCAGACUUCUUUGCACUUUGUGAUUCUUCCCUCAGCACUUAAUUCUGUAAUCAUCACACAAUCAUGAAAAUUAGGCAUUGCAAUUUCAUCCCUGGGGGAAAUAUGUGGACGCUGGCACCCUGACAAGUGUAACAGUAUAAAAGGAAAAUUACCUUAGGCUUACACUCCUUUUCCCCCCGCAUUUCCAAGAAAGAACUAAAUUUUUGAGGUUCAUAGCAGAGAAUUCUGCUGUGACUUCAUCGGCAUGGUCUUCCACCCUGUUGAGCGCUUACAAAACUCUACGUGUUCCAAACUCGGUUUCCUGUCCUGGAAGGUUAACCAUCCACCCUUCAUUUCCAAACAUUCCACAGAUGUAUUCCGAGCCCCCCUCUAUACCAAGCCUGUAUGUAGUAACCUUUGGGAAGCAUUACAGCCUAGCGGGGAAGAGUGGGCACUCCAGCCACAUGUAGUCUGGGCUCCAACCCAGCUGUCACUUACCGUCUUGGAUGGCCUUUCCUGUGUUCCUUAACUUCUCUUAUUUCUUCACUCGUGAGGGAAAUACAAAAGCCAGCCUAACAGGUUAUCGUGAGGACUACAGGAGAGUAUGCGUGUAGGGUGCUUCACUUAUUAUUAGCCACAGUAGCAGUGUGAGUAGAAGUAGCAGUCUGCUCAGGCUGGCAUUAAAAAACACCUUGAGUGGGUGGCUUCAACACCAGAAAUUUCUUUUCUCCCAGUUUUGGAGGCUGGAAAGUCCAAGAUGAAAGCCUGCAAGAUCAAGUACGGUUUCUGGCAUGUUCUCUUCCUGGCUUCCGGAUAGCCACCUUCUGUAGCUGGAGAGAGAGUAGUGGAGAGAGAUUGAGCAAGCUGUCUGGUGUCUCUCCUCAUCAGGGCACUAAUCCCACCAGAUCAUGGCUCCACCCUCGAGACCACAUCUAACCCUGAUUACCUCCCAAAUGGCCCGCCUUCAAAUACCAUCAUAUUGGUGGUAAGAUUUCAACAUAUAGUUUUGAAGGGACACAAUUCAAUCCAUAUUUUUUAUUGUGAUGAUGAUUAUUAUGAUUAUUUCCACUUUUAAGCAGCAUGAUGGAUCAUUUAUAUCCUUAAGAGGAAGAACACACAUUUUUUAAAAGAUGUCAGAACCUCCAUGGAAGCGUAACUCAAAAGAAAUCACCGUUGGACCUUCAAGAAAUGAUUCAGCUCCUCAUUUUAAUGACUGUCUAUCUCCAAGUAUCCUGUAUAUUUGGGGGACCGGUUGUCUGCCCAACCAGGCUCUUCAGUGACCAACAGCAGAUAAACAUCGUAACAUAAGGAUUGUAGACAUUUCUGAGGCAAUAUUUAGAAUGGUCCCAAGCCAUCCCUCUAAUUUGGCUGAAAUGUGUCCACAGCGUCAGGAUUUACCAGUUGGCUUAUACCAUGUGCACACAGGAGACUCCAACAACAGGGCUCCCAGCUGGCCUAAGGAGAAACUUUCUUAACUCAUCCUUGAAAAGAAAAAGCCAUUCUCUCACUCACCUCUGGAUGGGUGUAUCAGGGUUUCUGGAACACCCAUCUCACUUUAUGGAAGGAGGCCGAAGAUUCCUGAUAUCUGGGAAGAAUGACACACUGAGUGGGGAUGGGCUGAUGUCAUGAGUAGGGCCGUGUCCUCCUUAUACCCUUCAGGGGAAGGUAAGGAACCAUACAACAGUAUGCUGGACCUGUGCCAGACAGUCGUUAAAUACUUGGGCCUUUUGCAACCUGAUUGUUGAAUCUCAGCUUGAAAUUGGUCACGAUGAGAAUAUUUACACCAUGAGAAUCAGCAAAUACUACAAGUCAGGACCUUUUUCUUCCCUAGAAGUGUUGGUGUAUUAGCAUACCACUGGACUUCAGUGCCUCCCAUUUCAAAAAGUCCUACACUGGGAUAUAUCAAUACAGAUUCUUGGUUUCCACACAAAAUUUAAUGCAUUAUACUCUCACUCCUGACUUGGCAUGUGUAUUUUGGAAGGAAAAAAAAAAGAGUUGCCACAAACCUGGAAAACACAUUCUGGAGGAAUUUCUAAAAUCCAACUAUAUAUGUGAAUGAUCUUAGAAUGGCAGUGAGGAAUGGGAAUAAAACCAAAUAAUAAAGAAAGUGAGGGAUCUUGACCAGAUGACAAAAACAUGCCAAGAUCCCUGAUAUUUAAAUUAUCUUACCAUCUGCACCUGAGGUAUAAAGAGUUUGGGUCUGAAGUGAAUCGAAGAUAUUUCAGUGCUAAGUGUGGUCCAUGCACACGUCCCUGUAACCCUGCAAGCCAGUGAUGGAAGGAGUCACGUCUUACUAGUUUCGGCGCUCAUCGUAUUUACCACAAUGCCUAGCACGGAGAAAGCAUUCAGAACAUGGUUCUAGAAUAUAGGAGCAUGUGAGUGAAAGAGUGAAUGGUGAUAAUAAUAACAAUAGCCCCAAUAAUAAUAAAACUCUAAUGUUUGAGCAAUAUUUGUUCCAAAUACGCAUUAGAUGCCACCACUGACUUGUUUAGGAGCUACUAACGGCUUCCCAUGUCACCCACACUCACCGGCCCUGGCCCCAAGCCCCUUCCUGCCCAGUUGCCUACCUGAUUCUCAUAGUCUCGUCCUCCACGUCUCAUUCGCUUGACUCUGGCUAUGCGUAACCUUCUCGCUUCUCCUUGAAUGUCCCUGGUACAGAUCUUUUAGACCUUGACUUGGCUCGCUCCUUGACUCAUGCAGGUCUUUGCUCAAAUGUCAUCUCCUCACAGGAAAUUUCCCUGGCCAAUCUACCUAAAAUGGAAUUUCCAUCACCUCGACAACGUUUGAUCUCCUUAACCUGUUUUCCGAAGAGCCCUUAUACUUUCUGGCAUUUGCUGAUUUAGUGGUUUGUUAUUUGUCUUCAUCUCUCUGAAGACUGAGUCUUUAGGGGCCUAAUGACUUUGUCCACCUUGUCUUGGUGCUGGAAUGGUGCCCAUUAUAGCAGGUUCUCGUUAAAAACUUGAUAACUGAUAAAUAAAUGAGUGACUUACUUUAUUAACAAAAUGCAAAAGAGUGACUGGCCAAUGCAGCAUGGGCUCGAGGUGAGUCCUGAUUUGCAGAGGUGAAAAACAACCCUGCUACCUGCUCCCCAAGGCAAGCUCCUGUUUCCACAUUGUUCAGUGCAACAGCUUUUCCGUCUGAAUCUCCUUGUAAUCUAGCUCCCGAGCCACAGAAACAGGACAUACCCACGUGUGCAAUGCAGACAUGCCUAAAAGCUAACUAAAUGCAUUCCUCACCCCCAAUUUCAUUCUUAUUCCAAUUCAUGACAUUAGCAAAGCCAGAAAAUGGGAUAUCAUAUGGCAUUUUCUGAUUUUCCACACUGCCACUCUCAGAGAUAAUAUUCAGAAAUGAGAGUGAUCAUACUAUGCCCUUGGUAAAAACAUGUCGGUGCUUAUAGGUUAAAACCCAGAUCCCCGAGGAAGGCAUCAAGACUGCUACUGCUCUGACUCAGACCUACCUUUCCAUUUUCGUCUCCAGCUUUGUAUCCUCUUUUCUUGCCAUUAGCUAGAUUCUUUACUCCAAGCAUGCUGAAUCUGGGUUUUGGUUUCUUGGGUCCACCAUGUUCAUCCAUGCCGCCAUCAUUAUACUUUCUGUAACCUCUAACUAGAUUGCCCUGUCUCUCCCCAGCCUGACACGUGGACUGUCCCUCCCCCAUCCCAAAGCUGCCUCCGGUAAGAAGCCCUUCCUAACAACCACCAAGCUCACUUAGUUGACUUCUCCUGCUAUGUUCUUUGGAAAUACUAAAUGGGCUCUGGUUCUAACACACUUUCCCUCUUGAAAUAGCUCCAAUAAGAGUGUUAAUCUCUCGGGUACACAUAUUUAACCCUCAUCAACGAACCAGCUAAGUAUACAAAGAAAUUCUCUACAAAUGCUGAGAAGAGAGAGCCAAAGGCCUAAUUAAUUUUUCAACACUGAAGUCUGAGUUUUACAAUUUGUCUCUUUUUUAUGGUAAUAAAUUUUUCUAAAACAAGCAGGGCCUAGUGAUUGGGCAGCGGGCCAGCAAUUCCCAUUUGGCAAGGAGUUUUCUUGACUCAGACUGUGUAUACUGGGAGAACAAUGCCACAGGUCAAGUGUCAAUGCUAGCCCAGUUCCCUUCUAAUGAGAAUGGAGGCCUUUCGUGUGUGCUAUCUGCCAAAAGAUAGCUGUGGACGUCCCGCCGUGUCUCACUCCAGUGUCUACAAGCACUCAGGGCCCUAGUGUAUGCCAGUAUUUUCAAAUUCACUUCACAGACUUGAGGAAUAGGUGAUCUGGAAGUGGACUUAAGAGUUAGUUAGUUAUUCAGUUAAUCGUUUAUUUAGUUAUUCUAAUAUGCAAGAAGUACGCAUGCUUCCAACACUAGCCUUUGAUUCAUUCUUGCCAUUUACCCAAUCCUAGCUGUUCACAAAGAUCAUCUAAAUGUCCACCAUCCUCUCUCUCUCUCUCUAUUCCUGGGUCAAGUCCCAAUAUUUCAAGAGGUCAGAUUUCUAACUGCAAGUUGCAACCAGGGUAGAAAUAAUCCCUGCCCUUUUCCUAAGGCCGUAGGUGAUGUGUGCCCACUCAGUGCUGUAGGUGAUUAUCUGGAUUAAAAAAACUUCACAGAGAGGCAUUGGUAAAUGAUCAGGAAAAUACCCACUUGAGUCCAAUAUAGCCAGGACUUUUGAAAGUUGAAUUUCCUUUUUGCAUCAACCAUUAGUUUGAUAGUCCUGGGUGGCAGCUUAAAAUGACGUAAAUGUAUGAGCUCAUAGUUUCCGUGGGUCACAAGUCUGCUGUAGCACGACUGGAUUCUUAGUUCAGGGUUUCACUGAACUGAUGUCAAAGAGUCAGCGAGGCUACUCUUCUCAUUCGAUGCUCUGGGUCCUCUUCCAAGCUUACCAGUGGUUGGUAGAAUUCAUUUCCUUGUGGUUGUUGGAAUGAAAUCCCUGUUUCCUUGCUGGCUGUGAGCCAGGGGCCACUCUUGGCUGCCCACAUUCCCUGCUGCACGGAACCCCUCCACCUUAAGCCAGCAGUGUCGCAUUGAAUACUUCUUAUGCAAAUCUCUGACUUCCUCUUCUGUGAUGCUGGAGGAAACAUUCUAUUUUCAAAGGGCUCCUGUGGCUAGGUGAGGCUCAUUGGAUAAUUUCUCGAUCAGUUGAUACGGGACCUCGAUUUUACCAUCUGCAAAAUCUCUUCGCAGCAGCACCUAAAUUAGUGUUUGACUGAAUAACUUGGAGUAGAUAUGUGUAAAGCAGGGGCCAUGGAUCUUGAAGGGCCAUCACAGAAUUCUGUCUACUGGUCCUUCUCAGAGCAUUCAAAAUGUGGCUUUCAGAGAGAACAUGUACACUGUUCUCCUACACCCACCUUGAGUUUUCUCUUAUACACAUCUUUGCCAAGGUGUUGUGCAGGCAUCCUGACGUCGGCGUGUUGUCAUUUCAGAUGGCUUGAUAGAAUAGAGUGGGAUGAAUUUGGAGAGAUAAGGCAGAUACAGCAGAACCAUGCCGGUCAAAUCAAAGAAUCUUGACUGCACCUAUAGUGUGGUGGGAUGUUAUUAAAGGGGGCAGGUAGGCAUGUAAUAUGGGAUGCAAUCAUACCAUAAAUCAGCUGUGCCGGAAAGAAGAACGAGUGCAUGUGAAGAGACCAGGGUGGAACUGUCACAGUGCCCGGGCAAGAAAUGACGAUGGCCUAAACUAGAUAGGACGGGGCAGGAAGGAGUCCUUUCCCACUGGUACAGCCUGACUAGGCAUUCACUUAGCAUCCUCUACACUUCCCUUUCAUGUUACUCAUUCCAUUAUGUGGAACUGUUGCUUAGCUUGUCUCUCUCCCUCUCCUGACUGCACUGCAUCCCUGACAUGGCACCAGGCACAUGUAGGCCAUCGGGUAAACGAUCACGAAUCACCUAAUGGGUUCUCUACACCGCAGCAAACCCCAGCACAAAGUCCAGCUGCCUCCUUUUGCAAACCUCUGCUGGCCUUGCUCCUGCUUUCUGUGCCUCAGUUGCACGGGUGUGCUUCACGGGACACAGUGGCAGCUGGGUCCCUGUUGUCUUCCCUCCGUGCCCAUUCAACCCAAAUUGGUGUCCUCUCCUCCCGGCUCCCCUUGGCUCUUGUUUACAAGCCAGGACUGCACCGUCUCCAUCACGAUUCUGGCAAACCUGAAUAUUUUAUUGCCUCCCCCUACCCUAGAGGCUAUAACAGAGACCACUUUUGUUCCACCAGUGAACAGGGACAGGAGUUUCCAUAGCCCCAGAAUCACCAGGACAGAACAGUUCCAUUGAAUAGACCAUUGCCAUCCUAUCCCAAAACGCCCUUGUGAGUUCUGAUGAGUCCAGUUGCAAAUGCUUCUGGUUUCCCCUGUUCGAUCUUCGAUAUGACCGCUCCUCCCUGCUGGAUGGCUGGGAAAGAAAGACUUCCUUUGGAUUCAAAAUGGUGCAUUUUGAUGCAUGAACAUCUUCCAUAAACACUGGGACUCAGUUGGAGACUCACUCCAAGCUCUUUCUUGCUGUAAUUUUUCUUAGAACCCUGCAUUGUACUCCAUCCUUCCCUUUCCUGAGUUCAUGGAAUCCAUGUUCCCAAUCACAGAAGUAUGAGGGCUAUUGCUUGAAUGAGCUGACAGGUACCUCUUUUCAUGCCAUUAAUGUGGCCCUCUUCUCCACGUGUGAAAUAUCACACUUGUAAACAUUUUACCCACAGGUUUAUUUGAAAGGAGAAGCUGUUUUCAGGAGAAGAGACAGGCCCUGGUUCUGAUUUUCCCCAUGAAUGUUCUGAGUCAGCCAAAAGGAUACCUACACCCAAUGGGCAUCAAGAAUGGGAAAGAAAGGAAUUCCAUAUAAACUUCUGUAAGGCAAAAAACAAAGACGGGUUUUAUCUUCAGUGUGACCACAACUUUCACUUUAAAUAAGUUUUACUUAAAUCACAGCGUUUGAAAUUUACAUCCAGGGUCUGCCAGGCAUUAGGCUCUCUGCUUUUAUAGGAAGAUAGUUCCCUCUUAACUGGCUCACGGGGUACAAAGGGAGGCAUCUGGGUACCAUGUGAGGCAUAGCUUUAAUGUCACCUCUCCCAGGCUGAGAAGUCAGCUCUGCACUCUGGCACGGGUCUUGAUUCCACCUCCUUGGCUGCAAGCUAAAGAAACAGUGAUCACAAACUGCUCUCGGUCUGUGUCCUCAAAGAGACUGUGAGCUCUUUGAGGCAGAAGGUUGUAUCUUAUUCAGUUGUAGUCAUUGGUCUUGUCCCCCUUGUCUGCUACAACUGGGGCACAAAGACCAAAAAUGAAAGAGAGAGAGAGAGAGAGAGGGACAGAGAGAGAGAGAGAGAGAGAGAGAGAGAGAGAGAGAGAGGAAGGGGGCAGCAGGAAGGAGCAGGAAGAGAGAAGAGGAGGAGGAGGAUAAGAUAAGGAAGAACGGGAGACAGAGACAAUCCCUACAGAACAUGCUGCUAUAGGGGCUCCUGGGCGGCUCAGUCGGUUAAGCGUCUGACUUCAGCUCAGGUCGUGAUCUCAUGGUUCGUGGGUUCGAGCUUCAUGACAAGCUCUGUGCUGACAGCUCAGAGCCUGGAGCCUGCCUUGGAUUCUGUGUCUCCCUCUCUCUCUCUGCCCCUCCCUGCUCUCUCUCUCCCCAAAAUAAAUAAUCAAAAAAAAAAAAAUGAAGAAUAUGCUGCUAUACAGGAUCGGAAGUAAGAAAGGCAUAAAAACAACUCUACUACAAAAUUCCCCAAACCGCCAGCAAUGUGCUGUUUCCCUUCUUCAAGCAAAUCUGCUACAGAGGGACAGUAACUGGUGAAGCCAUGAGACCACCCUGCCGUCCUUGUCACUACACAUAUCCUGAGGUCAGAGAGGGCUCAAAGAUCAUCAUACCUUCUCCACCCCAGGAACAGGGGCAAUGGGAGCUGUGAGCCUGUUACUUCAGGGAGAGAGUGGCAGGGAGAGGUGAUAAUGAUGUAUGGAGUGUAACUGUUCAUUUAUGCUCAUUUAGUGAACAAAUUAGACACUUCACAUAUCUUGUUAAUUUUUGCAACUUAUUCUGAGAGUUGAGAUUGAGAUAUUUUGUUGACAUUUUACAUAGCAUGGCCGUAAACAACUCCCAUCAUACCGAGAAACAUUAUUCGGAAUUACGGAGGGUCCUUAACGUUCCCAGAAAGACCUCAGGUACCUAUUCUCAGUUCCCAUGAAGAGUCUUUGUGAAGGAAGGGUGGAUCUGAACUAUCAGAAAUAGAAGAACUAUUUUCAGAGUACAUUCUAUGGGCUGGGCACUAUGCCAAAGGCACUUUUUUUUCCCUACUAUAGAGCAUUUGACUUGCCCCCCAACCCAAUUUUCACACCUGAGUACCCGGGUCCCAAUUAGAGAUGAGCAAGUGGAGCAAGUUAUUGUCCAAGAUCAUGCAUUCUGGUGAAGCUGAUAUUUGAAAUGAGAUCUACCUGCUUUCAAAGCUCAUUCUCUUUCCAUCACAUCAUGCAACUGAAAAUAAAGAACCAACUGGAAUUUAGUUGACAUGUGCUUCUACAUGACCCAGUAGACUGUUCUGGGGACAGGGACUUAGAAAUUCUGAAAGUCCCCACAAUGUUGAUCAUCCUAGAUGAUGGAACUUUACAUGCCCAUGACUUCACCAUUGACAUAGCCAAUACGUACUGUGAGAACCAGCAUUCUCCCAUGUAACAUGAUGGAAACUCUACAUGGGAACCUGCAUUAGAACUGAUCUUGACACAAAGUGAUCCUAAGAUAAAAAUAGCUAUCUCCCCACCCUCUCCAUUUUCCUUUUCCUUCCUCCCCUUUUCUCUUUUGCCUUUCCCUCUCCCCCUCCUUUUUGUUCGUCCCCUCCUUCUUCUUCUGUCUGUAUCCUUUGCUUUUCCCUAUGUUGGUUGCAUUCCUUCCUACAGCUGACUUCCUCCGUUUAUUUGGACAAAUGAGAAACAGAAAUGUCUACAGAAUGCUCCACGCUUACAUCAUGCCAGCCUUGCACUGGCAAAAGUUGGAGACAUUUUCAUUCUUCUGUUAUCAAUACAUGAAAUCCUCUGGAAUUCACUUGAUGGAUCCUUUGGGAUCAUAGGCUCACCCUCUGUACUAAUCUCCGUGAACAAGGCCUAUUACUGGCAGCCCACGCUGUGGUCUAGUGCAGUGGGAAAAUGUGACUUGUCAUCCCCAUCAGAGCCAUAUGGAAUAGAAGAAUGGUUAUUUCUCGGGAGGGAGGGUAGGCUAUUACCACAAAAAGGGAUGAACAGAUUACAAGCAGAAAGUGAUUGACAAAUGUCCACAAAGAUUCAUUUUGACCGAACCUCACUCAAAUUCCCAGAAGCAUGGUCUUUCUCUCCUUCCUUGAUGUCCAAAAUUUGUAGCUCUCUUCCAGGUUUGGAGUUAGUCCUUAUAAUUUAUUUUAAUAUCAUCAUCUUAUAGCUGGCACUAAAAUAUUGACGUGCACCCUGUCUAGCAAGGCAUAGAGGCCCCUCACGGUUUGGCUAGCCAUCAUGAAUGAUGACGAGGACAGUGAUCACCACCACUGUUACCAAGUGCCUACGAUAUGGUUAUGAAUCUGGAUUCUGAAGGCCUAGAUAGAUAGAGGUGGUUUCAAACCAGCUGGUCACUUGCAGCUCGUGGGAUCUUGUUCCUGACUUCCGGUUUCCUCGUUGGCAAUACAGUGCCAGGGUGAUGGUAGCAUAAGCCCCCGAGCGCUUCAGUGAAGUUUAAUUAGAAAUGUACUUACAAGAGUGUCGGGCACAUUGCUUGGCACAUGUGAAAUAUAUCAAUAAACUGUAGCUACUCUUUGUAGGUCCCAGUCCCAGCUCUGGACAUGUUAUUUGAUCCUAAACAGCUGAGUAAAGGGGGAAAGUGUUUCCUAAUUUGUUUCGCAGGGGAGAAAACAGAAGCUCAGGAAGAGCCGGAUCAAUUUGCUCCGACACAUGUGGCUCAUGAGUGGCAGCCUGGGAUUUGAAGGCACCUCUUAGACUUCAGAGCCCUAGCCGUUUGACCGCCAAUGGAUCUCUGUCACUUUGGGAUAAAAAUGUAGGUCAGAGCCUGGUAAGGGACAAAACCCUGAAAGCCGGUUCUGUACCUGAGUAUGCAGAGUGCCCAGCGGCCAGGAGAGACGGCAGGCAUCCCCGUGGUUCUGUGCGUGGCUCUACCACUGCUGUCUCAACAUCCCUCUUCCUUUAAUGUUCCAUUUAUCAUCUUGCAGACAGUCUACGGGGUGGUUUUGGAACUCCUGCCUUGGGCGUUGCUACCCAGAGACUCCUGGGAGGCGAUGGGGUUGCUGCCUGGUGUUGUUAUUUCUUGAACAUGCUGGGAGCGUUUUGCGGGAUGGGUGGGUUGAGACGAGGGCCCGUGCCAGCGGCCUGCGCCUUCCUGUCAGAGAGUAGCUUCUCGGGGCUACCCAGCUGCGGGUGAUGAUGCUGUUGAAAACAAUUUCUGUCGAGCAGAAUCCUGAGCGGGGGCCAGGCUGUGUCUGUCCUCCUUCUCCUGCCGCUCCAGUUUACGUCCGAUCCCGGGGUAAGUGUUCCCAUCUGUGUUACUCUGUUAACUGAAAAGGAAGGAAUUAGCGCAUGAACUUGUCACAUCUUGUGACCUGUUGCACACUGAGAUGGGAGGUGGUGGCAGAGCGAAUACCAUUCUUUCUCUCAGCGCCUCGCAGGCUUGCGCAGGGGAGUCAGAAGAGCCCUUCUGGCUCCGUGAAACACGCCGGCACCAGCCCUCAAGUCAGACAAGGCCCCUCCGAGCUGCACCUUAUGGAGAGCCGAAGGGAGAGGGUGGCACAACCUCAAAGGAAAUCUCCCCUCUCUGCCAAGCUCCAGAUGGAAGGCCUUCCCACGGAAAUGCUUGCUGGAGACGCUUUGCUGACACAGAGCGUUGCCAAGGGAAAGGGCCUCUGGUGGGGCUGCUCUUGUCCUUUCUCACGGGGGGGGCUCAAGGCUGGGGAGGGGGCACAGCUCCUCCUUGGCGGAAGGACCCUACGGGAGGGCCCCGUGUGAAGGGUGUCGGGGAAGUUCUGACCUCGAGCUGCUGGUGGCCACUGGCCCCUCACGCAGAGAUUUUCAAUGCGACAUGACAACACUUUGAAGGUGUCUUUGAUCCGUGUUUUCUUUUCACAAGGCUUUUAUAGGAAUCCAUGCUUGGCUAAGUGUUGGAUGCAGAUUCAGGGAACGAACACACUCGGGUAUGAAGUGUUCGGGAGAACUGGGCUCCAUCUCGAGAUUUCCUGAUGGCGUCGGUUUGUACCCGUUUGCCUUGGCAGAAACUCAGUUAGGAAAGGAGAGGAAGAGGGAAAAAACAUAGAAAAGAGAAAUCCUUUUUGAAUUCAACGAAAUCGUGCCCCCGUAAAUGGCAGAGACCAAGGGUCAGAGCAAUCGUAGGCUCUCUCGUCAGAGAUAGCAAGAGACGGGACCUCUCUCUUGGGUGAGUUGGCCGAGGCUGAGAGAAGGCUCUGUAGGCCCCAGAGAAGUUUUGCCCAGAAGAAGGGGCUCCCUGCCAACUCGGAUUGCCACCAAGAGGCAUUGUCUGUUUCCCACUUCCCAUGUCCUCUCAGAAAAGAAACACUCAGCUCCACGAAGACAAACAUUGAUUCCAGGAUCUCACAGACCCAGCCUAUGUCAUGACCUCUAGAAAUAAUUUCCAUCAGCAAGAAUAUAAAUACGCUUUUUUUUUUUCCUCUCUCUCUCUUUGAUUUCCUCUGUUUUUAGAAUUUUACGGCACACGCUGGGAGCCACUGUUGAGGUAGUUCCAGGCAAGCUAUUCUCUGCCUUACCCGUCACCAAUAAGCUGCGAACCGGUGAGUCAGGGCUGAGGUCAAGGAGCUUCAAUAAGCAUCUGACCCACAGGACUGUGAUGCCGAUGGUGCAUCGGCCUGCUUGGAAACACUUUGCAUGGGGUACUCCAUGUGUCUGUAAACCCACGGAUAAUACCUGAUUCAGCCAAAUGCUCCAAACCUCAACCUGAACCCUCCUGUUGGAAGGGUGUAUUGGAUCCCAACGGCACUAAUAUGCUGGAACAAGACAGAAUAACAUACCAUCCACACUUUCACGCUCUUUUGGACUCCAUGAAAUGACUGAUCAUCCCCAUGUUACAGAUGAGGAAGUGGAGGCCCAGAGACGGCGUCCUGUCCAAGCUGUUAAGCACUGUGUCACACUGCCCCCUGCUGAGCACCUACUAAGUGCCAGGCUCUUAGAAAACGAUGGUGUUUAAGACCUCCCCGAGGAGGAGCUUCUAUUCUGGUAAGGUAAGUUCGCGGAUGUGUGUGUCUUCCCUAGCAAACUAAAGGAGGAGAAGCCCCGAGGUAGGAAUUUCUGCCUUUUGUCAAAAAUACGGUCACUCGCCUACAAGCCACAUCCCUCUGGCAUUCACGUGCACAGAUUCGGGGCAUGCCCCUGCCUUCUCUCUAAACUUUUUGUUCAGAAACUGAAAGAACAAUUUUGGGUUGUUUCUGCUCCCUGGUUUUAGGUUGCCUAAGGGCAGGUAAGUUAAGUAAGAAGAGUUUCACCAUGCAUCCACCGGGCAACCCACCCCCGUUAGCCUUUGAUUUCAGGGUCUCAGACACACAGGAGGCGAGGGCAGCCCCACACUGCUCUCCUUUUUGUAAGGCUCUUUAUUUGCCGCGAGCGGCUUCUUGUGUUUACCUGUCUGGGCAUUGUGCUGAGGACUGUGAGAAUGACACUCCUCAAGCCAGCUCUGAGAUGGAAACAGACUCACCACAGCAGCUAAAGAAAGAACGUGUAUGCAAAAUGAUCUCUUCCAGCACGUUCUGCUUUUGCCCAGGCGUUGCACAUAAGCAUGGAAGAAUUUUACUGCUCCUGUUACCCAGAAGAGCUUGAGAUUUGAAACUGGGAACCUUUCCAGAGCUUACAUGGAACGGAGCAUACAGAUCAGUACUGAAAACAUAAAUCACUCUUCAACCCUUGAUUCUUAUUAUUUUAGUAACAAUAGUCUAGUUGAAAUUUAACACUCUGCGCCUCCGUGUGUGUGCGUGUGUGUGCGUGUGUGUGUCUGUGUGUGUGUGUGUGUGUGUGUGUGUGUGUGUGUGUGUGUGUGUGUGUACAGGAAAAUAAAUACAUUUUCAAUAAUCCGCUUUGGAUUUAACUAAACCUCAACUUUAUCUAUUGUCAGGUGUGCUUCUGCUGUUCAAAUAAUAUCAAUCUCCUAAAAAACAAAAAAACAAAACAAAACAAAACAAAAAAAACCUGGGGCCCCUGGGUGGCUCAGUCCAUUAAGUGUCCGACUUUGGCUUAGGUCAUGAUCUUGUGGUUUGUGGGUUUGAGCCCCGCCUUGGGCUCUGUGCUGACAGCUUGGAGCCUGGAGCCCCCUUUGGAUACUGUGCUUCCAUCUCUCUCUGCUCUCUCUCUCUCUCUCUCUCUC